rnacentral:rRNA from 1 species
GACGAACGCUGGCGGCGUGCCUAACACAUGCAAGUCGAACGGACAUUAAUUUUUCGGAAUUGAUGUUAGUGGCGGACGGGUGAGUAACGCGUGAGCAACCUGCCUUUCAGAGGGGGAUAACGUAUGGAAACGUACGCUAAUACCGCAUGACAUAUAUUUGCCGCAUGGCAGAUAUAUCAAAGGAGCAAUCCGCUGAGAGAUGGGCUCGCGUCCGAUUAGAUAGUUGGUGGGGUAACGGCCUACCAAGUCAGCGAUCGGUAGCCGGACUGAGAGGUUGAACGGCCACAUUGGGACUGAGACACGGCCCAGACUCCUACGGGAGGCAGCAGUGGGGGAUAUUGCACAAUGGGCGAAAGCCUGAUGCAGCAACGCCGCGUGAGGGAAGACGGUUUUCGGAUUGUAAACCUCUGUCUUUGGUGACGAACAAAUGACGGUAGCCAGGGAGGAAGCCACGGCUAACUACGUG